rnacentral:rRNA from 1 species
UUGACCUCGGAUCAGGUAGGGAUACCCGCUGAACUUAAGCAUAUCAAUAAGCGGAGGAAAAGAAACCAACAGGGAUUGCCCCAGUAACGGCGAGUGAAGCGGCAAGAGCUCAAAUUUGAAAGCUGGCUCCUUCGGGGUCCGCAUUGUAAUUUGUAGAGGAUGCUUCGGGAGCGGUCCCCAUCUAAGUGCCCUGGAACGGGACGUCAUAGAGGGUGAGAAUCCCGUAUGGGAUGGGGUGUCCGCGCCCGUGUGAAGCUCCUUCGACGAGUCGAGUUGUUUGGGAAUGCAGCUCUAAAUGGGUGGUAAAUUUCAUCUAAAGCUAAAUAUUGGCCGGAGACCGAUAGCGCACAAGUAGAGUGAUCGAAAGAUGAAAAGCACUUUGAAAAGAGAGUUAAAAAGCACGUGAAAUUGUUGAAAGGGAAGCGCUUGCGACCAGACUCGCUCGCGGGGUUCAGCCGGCAUUCGUGCCGGUGUAUUUCCCCGCGGGCGGGCCAGCGUCGGUUUGGGCGGUCGGUCAAAGGCCCUCGGAAGGUAACGCCCCUCGGGGCGUCUUAUAGCCGAGGGUGCAAUGCGACCUGCCCGGACCGAGGAACGCGCUUCGGCUCGGACGCUG